GUCCCUCUUCCUCAUCCAUCUCCUCCCUCCCUUUCCCGUCUCCUCCUCCCUUCCCUCCCCUCCCCUCCGGCCAUCCCCUCCCCAUCUCUUCCUUCUUCCUCCACGGGCCCCCUCCUCUCCUCCUGUCCCGCGCGGCGCAUGGAUCCCGUCCCUGCCUCUCCUCCCGUACUGAGCGGGAUGCGGACACAACGGCGCGUGGCGCUGCGCAGCGUGGCGGCGGUGGAGAGCAGCGGCCGGCCGCGUGCAGUGCUGCGUGGAGUGGUGGCGAGGAGCGGUGCGGCGCUGCACGGUGCGUCGCGGCUCAGCGCAGCGGCGGCGGCAAGCAGCGGCCGGCCGCGUGCGGCGCGUUGCGGAGCGGGAGCUAGGAGCGGCGCGCCGUCCCGGUGCAGAGGCACGCCCCUGCCCUGAGCCCCCGAGGAGUUGUCGCACCGAGCCCAGGGAUGAUGUGGCUCUGGAUAUCCUCCAACAUGAUCCCUUUGCGGUAAAAUAGUUGCAGCUCUCUCAGACUUGCAUUUUGUUCUUCGGCUAAGGUUGUUGUGCAUGUAUUUCUAUCUUUUUACAAAUGUGAUUGUCUCAUGUUUUGUAGACAUUUUGCAUGCUCUUCUGAAAUUUGAAGUCUUGUAUGUUCUGUCCAAUUUCCAUGUAAUAAGUCACAUUGUUAAUUUCUACAAUCAUAUCAAGUGCCCAACCAGAGAGUAAUGGGCAGCUUGUUAUUAAGUUUGCUACAGAGAGAUGCUCAAAACUAGGCUUGAUGUAUGAACUCUUUGUUUUAAUUUUAAUGUAUGAACUCUUUCAUUUAAUCUCGAUGUAUGAGCUCAUGUGAUUGAAUUUUGCUGCUAUAA